rnacentral:rRNA from 1 species
UACGAAGGGAGCUAGCGUUGUUCGGAAUCACUGGGCGUAAAGCGCACGUAGGCGGAUGUGUCAGUCAGGGGUGAAAUCCCGGAGCUCAACUUCGGAACUGCCCUUGAUACAGCACGUCUUGAGUCCGGAAGAGGUGGGUGGAAUUCCUAGUGUAGAGGUGAAAUUCGUAGAUAUUAGGAAGAACACCGGUGGCGAAGGCGGCCCACUGGAUCGGUACUGACGCUGAGGCACGAAAGCGUGGGGAGCAAACAGG